GCCUCCUCCGACGAGUCACGUUGCCUAGCAACCGCUGUCUGCCGCCGGGGCCCGAACGCCGGAGUCCUAACCCCGGGCCCCUAACGCCGGAGCCCUAACACCGGGCCCCUAACACCGGAGUCCUAACGCCGGGCCCCGAACGCCGGGCCCCUAACCCCGGGCCCCUAACGCCGGAGCCCUAACCCCGGGCCCCUAACGCCGGAGCCCUAACGCCGGGCCCUAUCGCCGGGCCCUAACCCCGGGCCCCUAACGCCGGAGCCCUAACGCUGCAUCCAGCCCGCUGGCGCACUUACCCUGCUCUGCAUCGAUAACAAGACAAGUACACCACAGGCAGGGUGGAUAAUCAAUACAGCUGGACAAUCUCCCUAAAGAAAAAUCUAUCUGUUUUUAAAACCAGGAAGAAAGGAAACGGGGAACUGCACAGAUAAAGCAACUGUAACUGACACCAGCUGGACCAGCCUAGCUUGUUAGAGAGUAGAAGUAAACAAGUCCCUGGGGGUGACUGAAAUGAUCCUUUGAAGCAACCAGCUUUGACGUUUGGAAAAAAGAAUUAAAAAACAAAAGAAUGCUCUAAUUAAGGAAAACAUCAGUUAAAGCUCAAGAAGAAAUCUGAUUUUGAUCAGUUCUUUCAUGUAUGCCUGACAACUGCACAGCAUUAGCAGAGGGGCUCAUUAGAGGAUGCUUACCCAAAGUCCAGAUCAAGAAGCAGAAACACCAGUGAGUGAUAUGCAAGACUGCUGUGUGGAGGAAAAUUAAACAUUUGCUAACCUUCACAUAACACAGGUUGUGAUCUACUGUCCAAGUAGUUCAGGAAGAGAGAACUUUUGUUUACAGUGGGGUUAUUUAACACUGUUUCAGAAGUGAAAAUGGGUUCAAAAGGUAUGUUCUCCAGUGUUGGUGUCACAGACAAUCAAAUUGUCUGAGUCCUCAUGCUUGCCCAUAGGUCUGCUUAAUUGUAGCUGUGUGAAUUAAUGAAUAUAUGGCAAGAGAAA